GACAGAGGGUGCAAACGUUGUUCGGAAUUACUGGGCGUAAAGGGCUCGUAGGCGGCCAACUAAGUCGGACGUGAAAUCCCCAGGCUCAACCUGGGAACUGCGUCCGAUACUGGAUGGCUUGAAUUCGGGAGAGGGAUGCAGAAUUCCAGGUGUAGCGGUGAAAUGCGUAGAUAUCUGGAGGAAUACCGGUGGCGAAGGCGGCAUCCUGGACCGACAUUGACGCUGAGGAGCGAAAGUGUGGGGAGCGAACAGG
rnacentral:rRNA from 1 species